rnacentral:sRNA from 1 species
GUGCAUCGUUCUCGAACCAGUAGGCAAUGAAGUCAUCGUAGGGGAGAUGGGGAGCAAUCUUUGCCAGGACCGGCUUCAGAUGAUCGACCGGCGCCGCCCGCCCAAGAACGAUCUCGUUCCAGUAAGGAGAGAAAAACUCUUGCUGAAGGGCCGCAACUGACAGCCCGAGAUCAUCCUCAAUGGUCGAUGCCCACGGCCUUCCGUCGGAAGGGCGGCCGCAAACCAAGACGCCUUCCACAUCGAUCAUCAACGCUCUGAUCAAGGACAUCUAC